rnacentral:lncRNA from 1 species
GGGGACUCGGAAUGGCCCCAGACUUGGCGGGCGGCCUCCGUGUGCCAAAAAUAGGCCACGGGCACAGCCGCGCCCAAAAAUCAGCCCCCGAAGGUCGGGGUCCCAAGACCCCCCAGCGGAAAAAAGGCCAAGAAACGCGUGGGCUAUAGCCUUGGUGGGGGGCGUGGGCGAAGUUCGUCCGCGGGACUCGGAAUGGCCCCAGACUUGGCGGGCGGCCUCCGUGUGCCAAAAAUAGGCCACGGGCACAGCCGCGCCCAAAAAUCAGCCCCCGAAGGUCGGGGUCCCAAGACCCCCCAGCGGAGAAAUGGCCAAGAAACGGGUGAGCUAUAGCCUUGGUGGGGGGCGUGGGCGAAGUUCGUCCGCGGGACUCGGAAUGGCCCCAGACAUGGCGGGCGGCCUCCGUGUGCCAAAAAUAGGCCACGGGCACAGCCGCGGCCAAAAAUCAGCCCCCGAAGGUCGGGGUCCCAAGACCCCCCAGCGGAAAAAAGGCCAAGAAACGCGUGGGCUAUAGCCUUGGUGGGGGGCGUGGGCGAAGUUCGUCCGCGGGACUCGGAAUGGCCCCAGACUUGGCGGGCGGCCUCCGUGUGCCAAAAAUAGGCCACGGGUACAGCCGCGCCCAAAAAUCAGCCCCCGAAGGUCGGGGUCCCAAGACCCCCCAGCGGAAAAAUGGCCAAGAAACGGGUGGGCUAUAGCCUUGGUGGGGGGCGUGGGCGAAGUUCGUCCGCGGGACUCGGAAUGGCCCCAGACUUGGCGGGCGGCCUCCGUGUGCCAAAAAUAGGCCACGGAUACAGCCGCGCCCAAAAAUCAGUCCCCCGAAAGUCGGGGGUCCAAGACCCCCCAGCGGAAAAAAGGUCAAGAAACGCGUGGGCUAUAGCCUUAGUGGGGGGCGUGGGCGAAGUUCGUCCGCGGGACUCGGAAUGGCCCCAGACUUGGCGGGCGGCCUCCGUGUGCCAAAAAUCGGCCACGGGCACAGCCGCGCCCAAAAAUCAGCCCCCGAAGGUUGGGGUCCCAAGACCCCCCAGCGGAAAAAUGGCCAAGAAACGGGUGGGCUAUAGCCUUGGUGGGGGGCGUGGGCGAAGUUCGUCCGCGGGACUCGGAAUGGCCCCAGACUUGGCGGGCGGCCUCCGUGUGCCAAACAUAGGCCACGGGCACAGCCGCGCCCAAAAAUCAGCCCCCGAAGGUCGGGGUCCCAAGACCCCCCAGCGGAAAAAUGGCCAAGAAACGCGUGGGCUAUAGCCUUGGUGGGGGGCGUGGGCGAAGUUCGUCCGCGGGACUCGGAAUGGCACCAUACUUGGCGGGCGGC